rnacentral:rRNA from 1 species
CGUGUAGGCGGUUCAUCAAGUCUGGUGUGAAAUCGCAAGGCUUAACCUUGCAUAUGCGCUGGAAACUGGUGGGCUUGAGUUCUUGAGGGGAAGCUGGAAUUCCAGGUGUAGGGGUGAAAUCUGUAGAUAUCUGGAAGAACACCGGUGGCGAAGGCGAGCUUCUAUCAGAGGACUGACGCUGAGGCGCGAAAGCGUGGGGAGCAAACAGGAUUAGAUACCCUGGUAGUCCACGCUGUAAACGAUGUGCACUAGGCGUGGGGCACGUACGUGUUCUGUGCCGUAGUUAACGUGAUAAGUGCACCGCCUGGGGAGUAUGCUCGCAAGGGUGAA